AGUGAACGCUGGCGGUAGGCCUAACACAUGCAAGUCGAACGGCAGCACAGUAAGAGCUUGCUCUUACGGGUGGCGAGUGGCGGACGGGUGAGGAAUACAUCGGAAUCUACUUUUUCGUGGGGGAUAACGUAGGGAAACUUACGCUAAUACCGCAUACGACCUACGGGUGAAAGCAGGGGAUCUUCGGACCUUGCGCGAUUGAAUGAGCCGAUGUCGGAUUAGCUAGUUGGCGGGGUAAAGGCCCACCAAGGCGACGAUCCGUAGCUGGUCUGAGAGGAUGAUCGGCGACACUGGAGCUGAGACACGGUCCAGACUCCUAAGGGAGGCAGCAGUGGGGAAUAUUGGACAAUGGGCGCAAGCCUGAUCCAGCCAUACCGCGUGGGUGAAGAAGGCCUUCGGGUUGUAAAGCCCUUUUGUUGGGAAAGAAAAGCAGCAGGUUAAUACCCCGCUGUUCUGACGGUACCCAAAGAAUAAGCACCGGCUAACUUCGUG
rnacentral:rRNA from 1 species